AAGGUUAAGCAGUAAAUGUGGAGCCGUAGCGAAAGCGAGUCUGAAUAGGGCGUUUAGUAUUUGGUCGUAGACCCGAAACCAGGUGAUCUACCCUUGGUCAGGUUGAAGUUCAGGUAACACUGAAUGGAGGACCGAACCGACUUACGUUGAAAAGUGAGCGGAUGAACUGAGGGUAGCGGAGAAAUUCCAAUCGAACCUGGAGAUAGCUGGUUCUCUCCGAAAUAGCUUUAGGGCUAGCCUCAAGUGAUGAUUAUUGGAGGUAGAGCACUGUUUGGACGAGGGGCCCCUCUCGGGUUACCGAAUUCAGACAAACUCCGAAUGCCAAUUAAUUUAACUUGGGAGUCAGAACAUGGGUGAUAAGGUCCGUGUUCGAAAGGGAAACAGCCCAGACCACCAGCUAAGGUCCCAAAAUAUAUGUUAAGUGGAAAAGGAUGUGGCGUUGCCCAGACAACUAGGAUGUUGGCUUAGAAGCAGCCAUCAUUUAAAGAGUGCGUAAUAGCUCACUAGUCGAGUGACACUGCGCCGAAAAUGUACCGGGGCUAAACAUAUUACCGAAGCUGUGGAUUGUCCUUUGGACAAUGGUAGGAGAGCGUUCUAAGGGCGUUGAAGCAUGAUCGUAAGGACAUGUGGAGCGCUUAGAAGUGAGAAUGCCGGUGUGAGUAGCGAAAGACGGGUGAGAAUCCCGUCCACCGAUUGACUAAGGUUUCCAGAGGAAGGCUCGUCCGCUCUGGGUUAGUCGGGUCCUAAGCUGAGGCCGACAGGCGUAGGCGAUGGAUAACAGGUUGAUAUUCCUGUACCACCUAUAAUCGUUUUAAUCGAUGGGGGGACGCAGUAGGAUAGGCGAAGCGUGCGAUUGGAUUGCACGUCUAAGCAGUAAGGCUGAGUAUUAGGCAAAUCCGGUACUCGUUAAGGCUGAGCUGUGAUGGGGAGAAGACAUUGAGUCUUCGAGUCGUUGAUUUCACACUGCCGAGAAAAGCCUCUAGAUAGAAAAUAGGUGCCCGUACCGCAAACCGACACAGGUAGUCAAGAUGAGAAUUCUAAGGUGAGCGAGCGAACUCUCGUUAAGGAACUCGGCAAAAUGACCCCGUAACUUCGGGAGAAGGGGUGCUCUUUAGGGUUAACGCCCAGAAGAGCCGCAGUGAAUAGGCCCAAGCGACUGUUUAUCAAAAACACAGGUCUCUGCUAAACCGUAAGGUGAUGUAUAGGGGCUGACGCCUGCCCGGUGCUGGAAGGUUAAGAGGAGUGGUUAGCUUCUGCGAAGCUACGAAUCGAAGCCCCAGUAAACGGCGGCCGUAACUAUAACGGUCCUAAGGUAGCGAAAUUCCUUGUCGGGUAAGUUCCGACCCGCACGAAAGGCGUAACGAUUUGGGCACUGUCUCAACGAGAGACUCGGUGAAAUCAUAGUACCUGUGAAGAUGCAGGUUACCCGCGACAGGACGGAAAGACCCCGUGGAGCUUUACUGUAGCCUGAUAUUGAAAUUCGGCACAGCUUGUACAGGAUAGGUAGGAGCCUUUGAAACGUGAGCGCUAGCUUACGUGGAGGCGCUGGUGGGAUACUACCCUAGCUGUGUUGGCUUUCUAACCCGCACCACUUAUCGUGGUGGGAGACAGUGUCAAGCGGGCAGUUUGACUGGGGCGGUCGCCUCCUAAAAGGUAACGGAGGCGCUCAAAGGUUCCCUCAGAAUGGUUGGAAAUCAUUCAUAGAGUGUAAAGGCAUAAGGGAGCUUGACUGCGAGACCUACAAGUCGAGCAGGGUCGAAAGACGGACUUAGUGAUCCGGUGGUUCCGCAUGGAAGGGCCAUCGCUCAACGGAUAAAAGCUACCCCGGGGAUAACAGGCUUAUCUCCCCCAAGAGUUCACAUCGACGGGGAGGUUUGGCACCUCGAUGUCGGCUCAUCGCAUCCUGGGGCUGUAGUCGGUCCCAAGGGUUGGGCUGUUCGCCCAUUAAAGCGGUACGCGAGCUGGGUUCAGAACGUCGUGAGACAGUUCGGUCCCUAUCCGUCGUGGGCGUAGGAAAUUUGAGAGGAGCUGUCCUUAGUACGAGAGGACCGGGAUGGACAUACCUCUGGUGUACCAGUUGUCGUGCCAACGGCAUAGCUGGGUAGCUAUGUGUGGACGGGAUAAGUGCUGAAAGCAUCUAAGCAUGAAGCCCCCCUCAAGAUGAGAUUUCCCAACUUCGGUUAUAAGAUCCCUCAAAGAUGAUGAGGUUAAUAGGUUCGAGGUGGAAGCAUGGUGACAUGUGGAGCUGACGAAUACUAAUCGAUCGAAGACUUAAUCAA
rnacentral:rRNA from 2 species